GAAUGCACAAGCAUGCAUCGCAGUACUCUCAUGAAUGGCGGCAGACACUGACACGGAAAAAACACUGACACGGGCUUCAGGACAUUAUGGUUUAACCACUGAUGUCACGUGGACUAUUUUAACGAUGUCCUUACUAUCUUUCUGGGCCAUAUAAUGUUUCAAUUGUGUUGCAGUCUAUGCAGGGUCAGGAAGCUCUCUGAUUUCAUCAAAAAUAACUUAAUUUGUGUUCCGAAGAUGAACCAAGGUCUUACGAGUUUGGAACGACAUGAGGGUCACCAGAACAUUGGGGUCCAGUAUGGUGCUGCAGGACUCGGCCUGCUCUUUCUUCACCAGAUGUCAAACUCAUGCCCUUCCUCUGACGGCCAGCUAUGACUGAACAAAUCAGAAGCAGAAAGAGAAAGCAAGCGAGGAGGAGGAGGAAUCUGACCUUCUAAACUCUGAACAAAAGACUUCAUCACUUCCUGUCAAAUCAGCAGCUGCUGCAGAUUCAGAAUUUCAGAAGCAGGAGCUGAGAGGGAUUGUUUGUGAAUGUGUGUGUGUUGGAAGCUCAAAGAGGUUCCACAACAGGCAGUGCACUCCCUAAAACACACACCGCUGAUUCUGAGAAGAUCUCACCCACAAACUUAGAAUCAUUUAGGUAGCCCUUCCUUGUUCCUACAGGAAGUUAAGGAGUUUAUGUGCCUGUGUGUGAUCAGAUCAGGCCAAACUAUUUCUUUAUUAACGCUUGUUUACUUUGUGGUAACAACAUGAAACUUGCUUUCAAUUAAAAUAUUAAUACUGUCAAAUAUAUUAAUCGUGAUUAAUCAUAUCCCAAAGUCUGUGUUUACAUGAUAUAUGUUUGCCCGGUGUAUUGAUAUAUAAAUACACACACA